CCCUGAGGAGGUACUGGGAUCCUGACUCCUCCUCCCCUCAUUCUUUUUUGCUUCCUGGCCACCACAAGAUGAGCAGCCUCAUUAGCUCCUGCACAAAGACCGGCGUACUACAGCAGCAAAGACCCAAGGCAACAGGACCAACUGACUAUGGACUGAAUCUUGGAAACAGAGCCAACUAAACAUGUCCUCCUGUUUAAGCUCAUUACCUCAGGGACCUUACACAGUAUACUGCUAUACAGCUGCACUAAGAACAACUGAAAUCACCAAAGACCUCUACACUAACAAGUCUAGAGAGAGGGAAAAAAAAAUUUUUUAAACAUUCUACUACAAGAUGAACAACGAAACAAAGCAAAGAACAAAGCCACCUCCCAAGAUCAACAUCGCUUUGGAUGAGUUCAUUCAAAAUCAAAAUUAACACAAUCAACUAGCAGACACUGACUCAGCCGUGGGUUGUGCAGCACUGACGUUUCUAACCAAACAGCAUCUUGCGAGCUGUGAUCAUCCCAUUUCUCCAUCUCUGAGCAGUGAUUGGACGUUGUAAUUGAUAGACAAGCAGAAGGAAACGCAGGAGACAAGGGCUCAGAGAUAUGUAGAUAUGUUGCCAAAUGCCAUCUGUAAAGCUAAUUCUAGCUCUGCCAGCUUGCCAGGUUUUAGAAAACUAGGAUACAGCUAACUUCCUUUAUUCCCUUCAAUAUUUGCCCAUUCAUUCUGAACAGUAAAGCUUGUCUUUAAAGCCAGAGAGAAAAUAUUACUUGGACUUUUACUAAUCUACCCAAUAAAAAUUUUUUUGAGCAACCAAACUUUUCCAUUCUAAACUGAUGGUGAAACUGGGACUACGGAGUGACUUACAAAAGAAAACUGACAAGCUCAUACUUCGUGCAGCCUCAGAAGCAAUGAGCAUGCGUACUUCUACAUGGGAAUGAAACCUUGCGGCAAAGUCUGAUAUUCAACGUAUGAUGCAUUUAUCUUUAGUAACCUGAGCAGACUGCAGAUGACUGAAAUUUUAUAAACUCAUAUUCUAUACAAUUCAAAAUAUUCAAGAGCUUUUAGCUUAUUAUUUACCUAGACAUU